UACAGAGGGUGCGAGCGUUGUUCGGAUUCAUUGGGCGUAAAGGGUGUGUAGGUGGCGCCGUAAGUCGGGUGUGAAAUUUCGGAGCUUAACUCCGAAACUGCAUUCGAUACUGCGGUGCUUGAGGACUGGAGAGGAGACUGGAAUUCAUGGUGUAGCAGUGAAAUGCGUAGAGAUCAUGAGGAAGACCAGUGGCGAAGGCGGGUCUCUGGACAGUUCCUGACACUGAGACACGAAGGCCAGGGGAGCAAACGGG
rnacentral:rRNA from 1 species